AGCGAACGCUGGCGGCAGGCCUAACACAUGCAAGUCGAACGGACCCUUCGGGGUUAGUGGCGGACGGGUGAGCAACACGUGGGAACGUGCCUUUAGGUUCGGAAUAGCUCCUGGAAACGGGUGGUAAUGCCGAAUGUGCCCUUCGGGGGAAAGAUUUAUCGCCUUUAGAGCGGCCCGCGUCUGAUUAGCUAGUUGGUGAGGUAAUGGCUCACCAAGGCGACGAUCAGUAGCUGGUCUGAGAGGAUGACCAGCCACACUGGGACUGAGACACGGCCCAGACUCCUACGGGAGGCAGCAGUGGGGAAUCUUGCGCAAUGGGCGAAAGCCUGACGCAGCCAUGCCGCGUGAAUGAUGAAGGUCUUAGGAUUGUAAAAUUCUUUCACCGGGGACGAUAAUGACGGUACCCGGAGAAGAAGCCCCGGCUAACUUCGUGCCAGCAGCCGCAGUAA
rnacentral:rRNA from 1 species